UCCAUCUACAAUUGGACCGGUCUUCAUCGGCUGGCAAACUUCCACAUCUGAGAUUAUUUCUUUCCUAUAAUCUUCCCGUUUGUCGAACUUCAAAUUUUUAAUUUCGUGGUUUUUUUGCAGGUUUCAGGUUUUGUUUUUGGCUUUAAAAACUUUGAAAGAAUCAGGUCAUGAACAUGUCUAUAAUGCCGUCGAAAACCCUCUCCUUCUAGCUCAAUCCGCCGCCGUUUUGGAGAUUCUUCACGGUUUAAAGGUCUGGUUAGGUCACCAGUGUCAUCAACUCUGCCAGAUUGGAUCAAGAUUAUAUUUAACUUGGGGAAUUU